rnacentral:rRNA from 1 species
AUUGAACGCUGGCGGCAGGCCUAACACAUGCAAGUCGAGCGAGCGGCGGACGGGUGAGUAAUGUCUGGGAAACUGCCUGAUGGAGGGGGAUAACUACUGGCAACGGUAGCUAAUACCGCAUACCAUCGGAUGUGCCCAGAUGGGAUUAGCUAGUAGGUGGGGUACAGGCUCACCUAGGCGACGAUCCCUAGCUGGUCUGAGAGGAUGACCAGCCACACUGGAACUGAGACACGGUCCAGACUCCGACGGGAGGCAGCAGUGGGGAAGAUUGCACAAUGGGCGCAAGCCUGAUGCAGCCAUGCCGCGUGUAUGAAGAAGGCCUUCGGGUUGUAGAGGACUUUCAGCGGGGAGGCGUUACCCGCAGAAGAAGCACCGGCUAACUCCGUGCCAGCAGCCGCGGUAAUAC